CAACUUUUUUCUGGUUGACCUCGAAUCAGGUAGGACUACCCGCUGCACUUAAGCAUAUCAAUAAGCGGAAGAAA
rnacentral:rRNA from 1 species